AUGAAGGAUCUAGGAGUAGCUGAUGUUAUCUUAAACAUCAAGCUAUUGAGAGAUGACUAUGGUGGGAUCACACUGCUUCAGUCUCACUAUGUGGAAAAGAUCUUGAGUCGUUUUGGGUAUAGCGACUGCACGCCUUCUCCAACUCCAUAUGAUGCUAGUGUGUUGCUUCGAAAGAAUCGAUGGAUUGCUAGAGAUCAACUGAGGUAUUCUCAGAUUAUUGGCUCGCUUAUGUAUUUGGCGAGUGCCACAAGGCCUGACAUCUCUUUUGCUGUGAGCAAGCUGAGUCGGUUUGUGUCAAACCCGGGAGAUGAUCAUUGGCAUGCGCUUGAGAGAGUUAUGCGCUAUUUGAAAGGCACCGCGAGCUAUGGGAUUCACUACACCAGGUAUCCAAGGGUACUGGAGGGUUAUAGUGACUCAAACUGGAUAUCUAAUGCUGAUGAGAUUAAGGCCACAAGUGGUUAUGUUUUCACACUUGGUGGUGGCGCUGUUUCCUGGAAGUCUUGCAAGCAGACCAUCUUAACGAGGUCAACUAUGGAAGCAGAACUCACAGCAUUAGACACUGCCACUGUUGAAGCAGAGUGGCUUCGUGAGCUGUUGAUGGACUUACCUAUGGUCGAAAAACCAAUACCCCCUAUCCUGAUGAACUGUGAUAAUCAAAUUGUGAUCAUCAAGAUAAACAGUUCUAAGGACAAUAUGAAGUCCUCAAGGCAUGUGAAGAGGAGACUAAAAUCUGUUAGAAAACUGAGGAACUCCAGAGUUAUUAUGUUGGAUUAUAUCCAAACGUCGAAAAACUUGGCAGAUCCCUUCACAAAGGGUCUAUCACGUAAUGUGAUAGAUAAUGCAUCGAUGGAGAUGGGUUUGAGAUCCACCGCAUGA
rnacentral:rRNA from 1 species